rnacentral:rRNA from 1 species
GGUUUUUUGAAUAUAUAUAAUUUAAGAUUAGUUCUGCUCAAUGAUUAAAAUUAUUAAAUAGCCGCAGUAUUUUGACUGUGCUAAGGUAGCAUAAUCAAUUGUUUUUUAAUUGAAAACUGGAAUGAAGGAAUUGAUGAGAUUAAAGCUGUCUGUUAUUAAAAUGUUAAAAUUUAAAUUUUAAGUAAAAAUUCUUAAAUAAAAUUAUGGGACGAGAAGACCCUAUAGAAUUUGAUAUAAUUUUUUAAAAUAUAAAUAAAAAUUUAAUAAAAUUAAUAUUUUAUUGGGAGGAUAAUUAAAUUAAAUUAACUUUAAAAUUAAUAUUAAACAUUAAUUUAUGGAAAUUUGAAUAAUUUUUUUAUUAUAAUAGGAAAAAUUAAUAGAAAAUUAAUUACCUUAGGGAUAACAGCGUAAUAUUUUUAAAAAGAUCAUAUUGAUAAAAAUGUUUGCGACCUCGAUGUUGAAUUAAAAUAAAAAUUAAAUGAAGAAGUUUAAUAUUUUA